CCUGCUGUGUUCCGUGUAAACAGUUAUAUGGCUCUCAUGCUGACUUGAAUCUCUGUCUUUUGACUGACCGAAUUGUUGUUCCAUACGAGAAUUUCGUAUCAGACUGGCGACUUUGGAGUCCUCGUUAUUUUCAGAGUGAGACAGGCCUUCAGAGUUCCUUCCCCUGAUUCGACGUCGAUUGCUCUAGAAAACUCGAAGGGGCGAAGUUUUCUGCAGUAUCUAUUAUAAGCCACUCACAAUGGUUUUCAGUCCAUGCCCUCGAGGUCAGCGAUCCAAAGGGUCGGCGAAUAAUGCAGAAGACGUUAUGCUCCCUAUUGAUCUAGCCCACCAAGAUCGUCCAACUCGACCAAGUUCCGCUGCCGUGGGUAAUCUCAGCGAGGAAAGACUCGCCUUUGAGGAGAUUUUCCGUCCAUCAACACGUCGGACGGGCAAUCCAGAGACGGAAAUUACGCCUGGAUCUCAUCAGUUUCCAAAGACCGCAGCCAAUCGAACGAUACAUAUUCGCCCCAAGGCCAGUCGGAUUAGCUUAAUCCAGC
rnacentral:sRNA from 2 species